rnacentral:rRNA from 1 species
CAAUAGCGUAUAUUAAAGUUGUUGCAGUUAAAAAGCUCGUAGUUGAAUUUUUGCUUGCCGCCGAUGUCGGAACUUCCGUACGUUCGGCGGCGUGCAUCCUUGGGUGGAACCUGUGUGGCAUUAGGUUGUCGUGCAGGGGAUGCUCAUCGUUUACUGCGAAAAAAUUAGAGUGUUCAAAGCAGGCUUAUGCCGUUGAAUAUAUUAGCAUGGAAUAAUAAGAUAGGACCUUGGUACUAUUUUGUUGGUUUGCGCACCGAGGUAAUGAUUAACAGGGACAGUUGGGGGUAUUCGUAUUCCAUUGUCAGAGGUGAAAUUCUUGGAUUUCUGGAAGACGAACUACUGCGAAAGCAUUUACCAAGGAUGUUUUCAUUAA